rnacentral:lncRNA from 1 species
UAGCGACUGUCAAGAGCAGAAAGAAGGAUGGGCCUUCUGAAGGUACAUCUAAAUUGUUCGUUAUUGAAACUAAUCUAACAGUUUCCUCUUCUUCUUUGGGUUCUUGAUUCUGAUUUAAGUACUCAUUUGUGCACUUCUAUGCAGGAUCUUAAAGAAGUGAGGAGGCUGAGGGAAGGCGAUAUCACUCUCUGGAUUGGUAAUGGAGCAAAGGUUGUUGCUAUGGCCAUCGAGACCUACCCUUUGCGACUACUGUUAGGACUUAGUUUAAUUUUAAAAGAUUGUUAUUAUGUACCUAUAGCCAGUAGAAAUUUGAUUUUCAUCUCUGUGCUGGCACAGGAU